GUUCGCGCGGCGGGGCUCUGCGCUCCCGGCUGGCUGAGUCCUGUGGAUGCUCUACAGGCUGGGUGAGGGCAGCGUCCGUUGUGGUAUCUUUGCCGAGCCGUGAGCCUCCAGUAUUGGCUCCGUCUCCCUGAGACUCGUUGUCCCGACUAUGGGAUGGGCUGCCUGUCACGGAGAUAUCCGCCCAGGCCGCGCGCUCUCCCGGGCCUCCUCACCCUGUCCUCGUCCCCGCUGCCCCGGCUAGCGGCACCCAGGGCCCUGUAGGCAUUUUACGCAGGGAGGGGUGAGGAUUGAGGCCCACACUGCCACGGUCAGCCUGAGGUCAUCCAUCCUUUGGCAGGGCUGGGGUCGGGUCUGCCGACCCGCGGGACCCACCGGGGUAUCCGCCUUUCAGUGUGCAGCUCCGCCCCCAGGGUCCCGAGGCGUUGGCGGUGAUGACAGACCGGCUCAGGAGACUCGGCACCACAUCCUCUAGGAUGAGUGCAUCUGAAUCCACUGCACGACAUCCAGGAGCCGGGUCCUUCUCCUGCUGGCCUCGCAUCUUGAUGUGCCCAGGACAGGGGCGCCUGGGUGGCGCAGUCGGUUAAGCGUCCGACUUCAGCCAGGUCACGAUCUCGCAGUCCGUGAGUUCGAGCCCCGCGUCGGGCUCUGGGCUGAUGGCUCGGAGCCUGGAGCCUGUUUCCGAUUCUGUGUCUCCCUCUCUCUCUGCCCCUCCCCCGUUCAUGCUCUGUCUCUCUCUGUCCCAAAAAUAAAUAAAAAAACAAAAACAAACAAAAAAAAACGUUGAUGUGCCCAGGACCUUUCUCCCUAACAUCCUCAACAACGCGCUCACCCUCCUCCACAAGGCCCCCUACCUGACUAUGGCCUUACACGGGGCAGGCUACCAGCCUACUGUCCCCUGAGCAUGUUCCAGACCCAUCCCCGGUACCCCAGACCUGCCUGAGUCCAGUGGCCCAGGCACCACCAGACUCAACACUUGUAAAGUCCAACUGCGGAUCUUCUCCAACACUUCCUCCUCCUGCCAAGGCUCCCUGGCCGCUGGUCCCCAGCUCCUCACUGAACUCAGGCUGGAGAGGCUUUUCUGAGCUCCGUCUCCUGCUCCGUGCAGCAGACACCGCGUCCGGGGCGAUGACUCCUGGGCGGCG
rnacentral:lncRNA from 1 species